rnacentral:piRNA from 1 species
UGCUAAGUGCUCACUGACCUCCUGUCCCCU